GACGAACGCUGGCGGCGUGCCUAACACAUGCAAGUCGAACGGGGUUUACAAGAAAGCUUGCUUUUUUGUGAACCUAGUGGCGGACGGGUGAGUAACGCGUGGAUAACCUGCCUGUAAGACCGGGAUAACACCGGGAAACCGGUGCUAAUACCGGGCGUGCUGUAGGGGGGGCGAUCCCCUUUACAGGGAAGGGAGAAAUCCGCUUACAGAUGGGUCCGCGUCCCAUUAGCUAGCUGGUAGGGUAACGGCCUACCAGGGCGACGAUGGGUAGCCGGCCUGAGAGGGUGGUCGGCCACACUGGGACUGAGACACGGCCCAGACUCCUACGGGAGGCAGCAGUCGAGAAUAGUCUACAAUGGCCGGAAGGCUGAUAGUGCGACGCCGCGUGAACGAGGGAGCCCUUCGGGUGUAAAGUUCUUUUCUAUACGAGCAGUGCUAUAUAUAUGGAUAGUAUAUAUAGAGGGAUAGUAGUAUAGGAAUAAGCAACGGCUAACUCCGUG
rnacentral:rRNA from 1 species